AGAAAAACCAUAAACAGGGGAAGCUAAUAGGUUGUAUUCAUUCUUCUUGAAGACAGCUCCCAGGUCAGCCCUACUCCUUUCACCUCUACAAACUCUUCACCAACCAGCAUCUCUCUCAUCUCACCUUGAGGAAAUGGCCCAAUGAGGAAUGCAAUAGCAAGAGGCAAGCUAAGUACAUUUCAAUUCUUUCUGAGAGGAAGAAAUCUUUCUCAACAAGUCUGAUGGAGCAAUAAAUACUGGACAUCUGUGUGUUGUGCCAUGGGCAGAUCAGAUACAGAAAACUUCCAGCUUAUGAAUGAGAUCCAUGAUGCAGAGAGACAGUUAUCACAAGCAGCAUCACAUGGGAUUGCCAGGUCAGAACCACUGUAGACCAAAGCCAAAUCCCACUGGGCCUAGGCAAGUUGAGGCCACCAAGCAGGUCCAGGGACUGCGGUACUGAGGUACUGAGCCAUGCCCAUCUUUUUCUGGCUCUGAAGACAUCAGUGCUUGCCACGAGCCUCCUCAAUAAAGACACAGACACAGGAUGAAGCAAUCGUCGAGGGUGUGGCCUCAAAGAUAGAAACAAGAUGGCAGAUAAAGCGCUUCUGAAACACGCAGCAGAGCCUCCAAAGCUCUGGGUGGUGGAAAGAUUUUCAUCAUGGAGGUGCACUUGCCUAAAGCACUCUGCAACUGGAAAGCAGGUCACCACAGCACCCACUGAGUCCUGAAAAGAAUAACUUCAGUUUUCAAAGAAUUGAAAUAGAUAGGGGUGAGGCAAGAGGAAGAAAUGAGUCACAAAUCUGGAGGUGAAAUGAGAGCUCUGAGUUAAUGACCACAGAUAAGGAAAGCAGAGAGAGGAGCAAUGUUCUUAUUAGGUUCAUUUCUCACUUUCAUAAAGGGCAGCCAUCUACUUCAAUUUAAAGAAGUAUCACAUGAUCUCACUCAUAUGUGGAAUCUAAUGAACAAAAUAAACUGUUGAACAAAAUAGAUCCAGAGACACAGAAGCAUGAAACAGACUGUGGAAUCUCAGUGGGAAGGC